rnacentral:rRNA from 1 species
GAGCGGGUUUUACCAGAAGUGGGUAGCCUAACCGCAAGGAGGGCGCUUACCACGGUAGGAUUCGUGACUGGGGUGAAGUCGUAACAAGGUAGCCGUAUCGGAAGGUGCGGCUGGAUCACCUCCUUUCUAG